UACGUAGGGUGCAAGCGUUAAUCGGAAUUACUGGGCGUAAAGCGUGCGCAGGCGGUUUUUGUAAGUCUGUCGUGAAAUCCCCGGGCUCAACCUGGGAAUUGCGAUGGAGACUGCAAGGCUAGAAUCUGGCAGAGGGGGGUAGAAUUCCACGUGUAGCAGUGAAAUGCGUAGAGAUGUGGAGGAACACCGAUGGCGAAGGCAGCCCCCUGGGUCAAGAUUGACGCUCAUGCACGAAAGCGUGGGGAGCAAACAGG
rnacentral:rRNA from 1 species